GGAGGCAGCAGUGGGGAAUAUUGCACAAUGGGCGCAAGCCUGAUGCAGCCAUGCCGCGUGUAUGAAGAAGGCCUUCGGGUUGUAAAGUACUUUCAGCGGGGAGGAAGGGAGUAAAGUUAAUACCUUUGCUCAUUGACGUUACCCGCAGAAGAAGCACCGGCUAACUCCGUG
rnacentral:rRNA from 1 species